GCCUGGGUGGCUCAGUUGGUUAAGUGUCUGACUUCAGCUCGGGUUAUGAUGUCCCGGUUCGUGGGUUCGAGCCCUACAUCAGGCU
rfam:Felis catus isolate Cinnamon breed Abyssinian chromosome B3, whole genome shotgun sequence.